GAGGGUGUAGCUCAAGUGGUAGAGCACAUGCUUAGCAUACAUGAGGUCCUGGGAUUCAAUCCCCAUUACCUCCA
rnacentral:tRNA from 1 species